AACCAUUCUCACCUGCGGCUAGACCUGCGGAAGGAUCAUUAAACAACUAGGCCGUAACAAGCCUUGAACCCUUCUCUACGCGCACCUUUACCUUCUCCUUCGGCGGGUCAGCGCCCGCCGUCGGAACCAACAAACCCCCUUUUGCAUCUAGCAUACCACCCGUUCCGAUACAAAACACAAUCGUUACAACUUUCAACAACGGAUCU
rnacentral:misc_RNA from 1 species